UACGUAGGGAGCAAGCGUUGUCCGGAUUUACUGGGUGUAAAGGGUGCGUAGGCGGAAGAGCAAGUCAGUAGUGAAAUCCAUGGGCUUAACCCGUGAACUGCUAUUGAAACUGUUUUUCUUGAGUGAAGUAGAGGUAGGCGGAAUUCCCGGUGUAGCGGUGAAAUGCGUAGAGAUCGGGAGGAACACCAGUGGCGAAGGCGGCCUACUGGGCUUUAACUGACGCUGAGGCACGAAAGCAUGGGUAGCAAACAGG
rnacentral:rRNA from 1 species